rnacentral:rRNA from 1 species
UGGGAAGUAAAAAAUCGUAACAAGGUUUCCGUAGGUGAACCUGCGGAAGGAUCAUUACCGAGUGUAGGGUUCCUAGCGAGCCCAACCUCCCACCCGUGUUUACUGUACCUUAGUUGCUUCGGCGGGCCCGCCAUUCAUGGCCGCCGGGGGCUCUCAGCCCCGGGCCCGCGCCCGCCGGAGACACCACGAACUCUGUCUGAUCUAGUGAAGUCUGAGUUGAUUGUAUCGCAAUCAGUUAAACCGUGAAUCAUCGAGUCUUUGAACGCACAUUGCGCCCCCUGGUAUUCCGGGGGGCAUGCCUGUCCGAGCGUCAUUGCUGCCCAUCAAGCACGGCUUGUGUGUUGGGUCGUCGUCCCCUCUCCGGGGGGGACGGGCCCCAAAGGCAGCGGCGGCACCGCGUCCGAUCCUCGAGCGUAUGGGGCUUUGUCACCCGCUGUGUAGGCCCGGCGCGGCGCUUGCCGAACGCAAAUCAAUCUUUUCCUGUGACCUCGAUCACCAAGCCCACAAUUCCCC